GAAGAUCAUAAGCUUCUGGACCCAGGCUGACCACAGGAUGGACAACACACGUGUGGCAGUGCUGUGGGGAAGAUGCCACGGGGAAGGCCUAAGAUACUGGUGCUUCUAGCGAGUGGGAAAGCAUAUCAACUAAGAGCCAUGUCAUGGCUCUGGAUGUCUCUGCAAUGAGUUCCCCCCAAAGACCAGAGUGCCUGCUCCACACCGGCUGCUCAGGGCAUGUUAACAGAAAUGAAAUGCUCUUCCACCACUGACAGACCUGCUAGAGCCAAGACAGCUGAGGAACCACUAGGCUCCGGUAUUUUGCCCUGUGCCCAGCAGGGCGGACAGCCCCAUGAUGUGUCUAGAAAAGGUAAUGGGAAUAUGUCUAAUGAGGAAAGGACUGCCAUCUUCUGUGUGGAAAUGACUGACAGAGGAGAGGCCAGAUCGGCCUUUAGCUCGUGAAAGAAUCCCUGUGAAUGCAGGAGCUGUUGCCCAAGAACCAGAGCGAGCUUCAGAGUGCCACACACACUGUCAUGUAUCAAGCAAGCUUCAGAGUGCCAUACGCACUGUCACGUACCAAGCAAACAUUACACAAGUCAAGAGUGACGGCAGUGCCAGUCCCAUGUUUGCACCUAGAGCUCUGCUUGCUGUCUUCUGAGGACUCAGAAGCCCUUGAAGAGAUCUACCAUGGCCCCCUUGAGACCUGAGAGAGACACGAUGAUCCACAACAGUGGAAGAUCAAAUUCUGUGAUGUAGGUAGUAAAUUGAAGAGCCGAGAAAGAGCCGAGCCCCAAAGGGAGCAAAGAAAUGCACAGAAGAGCUAAUGACAAGGCUCCAUUUGCACUGAAAAUACAGAUUCUAAUUGCUAUGACUAAUUCUGGUGAGAUGGAGGAGAAAUAUGUAUUUCCAAAGUAUUGAUGCCCAUAGAAGCCAUUUACAACCUUUGGAAAGAAAAGUAAGUGGUCAUGCUCCUCAAUGUAGAAAUCUACUCUGAGGAGUCUGAGACAGGGAAAGAACUCCAGAGAAAAUGGACAUGAAUAUGUCCCUCAGAGCAUUACAUACAAGAACCCCCUCAGUACAGACACCACCUCAAAACCCAACAUAAAGGAUUUCUUUACGGAAGACAGAGCCCUCACCGUAACUUGAACCUAGCCAUGCUAAACUGUAUCUGUGAAUAUUAUACCAACAUAUUACAAAAUACCCCUCCUAGGGAAAGCCAGAAAGAGGGCAGAGCAAUAAAAUAAGAGAGGGUGUAAUUUUCACGGCAUUUCUGUGUAAUGUUCUUGCGUUCCUUUAAAAAAAAACCUUGUAAAUUCAAUUGAAGAAGUUUCUGUCAACGAACAUAUGUUGAUACUUUAAAAAAAUAAAAAUAAAAAAAAGACAAGGUAGAACACUAAUUCUGAGAAGAUCACACAGGAAUGGAAGGGCAACAAGACGCAACCUGUUCUCUCAGGUCAUUGUGGACUCUGGGUGGCCUGCAGUGCAGACUCGUUUACAGAAGGCUCUUACCUGUGGGGGCCUAGGCUUGUAGGGGGAGCUGCACUCAAGGUCAGCCAAGAUGCUAGUCAGCGAGUCUAUCUCGGCAUCCAGGCUCGAACGCCUCUCCUCAAGGGUCUUGCCUCCAGGAUUUCCGUGCUAGAAGAAACAGAGACACGUUACCCAAAAAAACAUCUCCAGCAUCUAGGGAUAUCAGUCUGCGUGCAAAUCUCUUGAAUUACAGUGUGGUUUUGUCCAAGCUUUUUUGCACUUCAUUUAUUUUAGCUUUUACAAAAUGUGAAGUAGAAUUAUCCUAUUUUGACAAAUAAGAAAAUUGGAAGAUAUGAAGUGAUUUGCCUAAAAUCAUACCCAUUAGAGGCUUUAUUUGUGUGUUUUUUGUUGUUUACAAGUAAAAGGAAAUAAACAUCUCUACCCCCGUGCUGAAGGAGCAGAUUCAACUGGCGGGGGAUAUUACAAGUUCUUUGUAUUCAGAAACCAUCACACAGAAUGACAGCAUUUGAGUUGGAGCAGGACAGGGCACAAGGUGGGAGACUGAAGGUCUAGGAAGAGGAAUCAGCUAAGUGUGGAUAUUAGAUGUGUCUGUGAGAGAGACACAGUGCAUUCUAAGCAAUGCACUUUCAAAGGGCCCUAGAAAGGGUCUGCUCAGAUGUCUGGCCAAGGGACUGCAGAUGAAGCAUGUGGCAGUGGUCACGGAUGAUGCAGCUGGAGAUCUAUGAACCUCAUCCAUCAAUACCCUGUGUUAUCACAAGUACCAGUCUCCACCUACACUCAGAAGCACAGGAGGCAUACUGAUAACAUCAACAUCUAUGAAGUCAUGGCCCAGCCCCAUGGAGCCAAAAGCAGACUGUUGACGGUCCCAGAGGCAGUGGUAUCCU